CCUUUCUAAGUGCUUGCAGACCACAUCCUCAAUGUUUUCCAGAAUCUUGCCUGGUAUCGACAUAAGGCUGACUGGACAGUAAUUGUUUGGGUCGUCUUUUUUUCCCUUCUUGAAGAUAGGGAUCACAUUUGCCCUCCUCCAAUCCACUGGGACUUCGCCUGUUCUCCAAGAACUCUAAAAGAUGAUUGCCAGUGGUUCUGAAAUAACUUCCUCUUGUUCCUUCAAUACUCUUGGAUGUAGAUGAUCCAGCCCUGGAGACUUGAAUUCGUUUAGAGGGGCCAGGUGUUCCUGGAUAACUUGUUAUGGUAAAUGCACAGCAGCCAUUUUCUUUUACUCCAAAAUCCACAAGGAAAAAAUGGCAAUGGAGGCAGCAUAUGGAAAACAGACAAGCCCACCUCGAGCCAGUGACCUACCAGCCUUGGAACAAGACAAACACCAAAAGACCUAAGGAUGUGCAAUGGUGAUCAAGCUGAACUGAAAGAAGGAAUGCAUUACUUGAUUGGGUGAAACCUCAUUCAUGUUUCCUUUCUUGUCUAAUUAAAAGAAAAAGUGCUGCAGCCCCCUGAACCACAUAUUCUGUUCAUCGAGUGAGUGCAUGAAUGAAAGAUUAGAUGAAGUGUAUAAGUAGCUUGAAAUAAUGACCCCAUUUAUUGUUACUGAGCAAAUAAUGAGAUGUCUGCAGUGGCCAUGAUUUUACAUCAACCUCACCAGUUACCCAAGGUUCCAUAGCAUUGUGAAUGUUAACACCCAGGUAAAAGCCAUAAAACAGGAAAUACUGCCCUCUGUCUCUUCUGUAGGGAAGAAGAACAAGGUUUUAAUUCAUCUUCAUCUCUUCCUAGAGAACUGCAUUGGAUCGGAUGCAAUCCCUGCUGCUGAGUUGCUUACCUCCUCCAAGGUUCUUUAACCUGUCUGGCUUCCCAGGCUGAGGCUAGCAGCAUCCUAUCACCCAAGGUUUCAGAGCCAAACUUCUUAUAUAUGCUUUUGAUGUCAUAGAAACAAAGAUUGGGAAGGGCAGGAAUUAAUUCUAUUCCAGGAACCACCUUUAAUUGCAGAAAUCUAGCCCUAACCGUCCAUCUGAUGGCAAGCAGUACUUUUGGAAGAUUACUCUUUGGAAAUUUGAGUUGUGAGGUCCUACAUUCCACUUUGCCAUUCACUAUUUAGCAUUGAUAUGACCUCAGAAUUUUGGGAUAUCACCAACUCCACAUGCCUAUGUUACAUUGCUUUUCUUUUGUUACUGUAGCACAUUAUCAUCAAAAUCUGUUCUGAACUUCACUGCUUGGGACCUACAUUCAUCCUUACGCUAAUCUGCUGAAAGAGAAAGAUCUAUUCAGACUUUUCUCAGACAUACAUGAAAGCAACAAUAACAAAAGUUAGAAGGUUUCAUCGUCUGUGGCAUUCUAAUUAUGAAAUUACUUCUGCACAGAGCAUCCACUGCAUUAUGUUUCAGUUCUUAGAGAAAAAGUUCUCUCAAGCCUUUUGAUGGUCUGCAUUUUAAAAUGCUGAAGACAUGCUAUAUUUUAAACCCUGCUCAUUGAAUGAACAGCUUAUUGUGCUACUUGCUUAUUGAUUAUAAUUGAUUUAUUUUAUAUUUUGUUGCUGUCAUUUUUGUUUUAACUAACAUUCUAAAUCAUCCUGGGAUAGAUAUUAUGAAGGCACUGCAUAAAUGAAUGCAGAAACCAUUGAAAUUUGUCUUUAUGCUGGAAAAGGGGUGGCAUGUCAGAAUAAAAACAAAUGCAUGCAUUUUUUUCUAGCUGGACUGCUUCCCAUUUUCCAAACACUAACAUAUGGCCUGUGGGAAUGACACCAAUGACUUUUAUUAAUAUUGACUGGCAUUUAGUAUACAGUUACACAGUUACAGAUUUGUCACCUCACGUAAUGGAUCCUUAAUUGCUCUGUAUCAGUAAAACUACAUGGC
ensembl:lncRNA